GUUGAAGACUUGUUUUUCUCCUACAGCAAUCCUGAUGUGGGCAGCUCUGGGGUUUUUGACAUGGAGUUUAGCUACCUCUGGCUCUAGAUGACCUUCAUUUAGAUGUUUCUGAAGCUUUGCCACCUUUGUUUCCAUCCUUAUGAUUAUGGCUUUUGUGAAGUGCAGUGUCCCCUAGGCGUUUCACAUGUGCAUUCUUUUCUGGUGGUUGGAUCACAGAAACAAUGUAAGAAAAUGGGAAAUGGCUCAUCUCCUUUCAAGGAAUUUCACAACCUUGUGAGGCAACAAAAGUUUUUUUGGCAAGCUGCUUUUGAAGUGGAGUUGAGGGG